ACGGCUCAGUAACACGUAGUCAACCUACCCUAUGGACGGGAAUAACCUCGGGAAACUGAGAAUAAUGCCCGAUAGAACAUUAUGCCUGGAAUGGUUUAUGUUCCAAAAUGAUUUAUCGCCGUAGGAUGGGACUGCGGCCUAUCAGUUUGUUGGUGAGGUAAUGGCCCACCAAGACUAUUACAGGUACGGGCUCUGAGAGGAGUGGCCCGGAGAUGGGUACUGAGACACGGACCCAGGCCCUAUGGGGCGCAGCAGGCGAGAAAACUUUGCAAUGUGCGAAAGCACGACAAGGUUAAUCCGAGUGGUUUCUGCUAAAGGAACCUUUUGUCAGUCCUAGAAACACUGAUGAAUAAGGGGUGGGCAAGUUCUGGUGUCAGCCGCCGCGGUAAAGCCAGCACCUCAAGUUGUCAGGAUGAUUAUUGGGCCUAAAGCAUCCGUAGCCGGCUCUGUUAGUUUUCGGUUAAAUCUGUGCGCUUAACGUACAGGCUGCCGGGAAUACUGCAGAGCUAGGGAGUGGGAGAGGUAGACGGUACUCGGUAGGAAGGGGUAAAAUCCUUUGAUCUAUUGAUGACCACCUGUGGCGAAGGCGGUCCACCAGAACACGUCCGACGGUGAGGGAUGAAAGCUGGGGGAGCAAACCGGAUUAGAUACCCGGGUAGUCCCAGCUGUAAACUAUGCAAACUCAGUGAUGCAUUGGCUUGUGGCCAAUGCAGUGCUGCAGGGAAGCCGUUAAGUUUGCCGCCUGGGAAGUACGUACGCAAGUAUGAAACUUAAAGGAAUUGGCGGGGGAGCACCACAAGGGGUGAAGCCUGCGGUUCAAUUGGAUUCAACGCCGGG
rnacentral:rRNA from 1 species